AAAUUGAAGAGUUUGAUCAUGGCUCAGAUUGAACGCUGGCGGCAGGCCUAACACAUGCAAGUCGAGCGGAAACGAGUUAUCUGAACCUUCGGGGAAGGAUAACGGCGUCGAGCGGCGGACGGGUGAGUAAUGCCUAGGAAAUUGCCCUGAUGUGGGGGAUAACCAUUGGAAACGAUGGCUAAUACCGCAUGAUGCCUACGGGCCAAAG
rnacentral:rRNA from 1 species